AAGGGCUACGCGACGCCACGUGAUCUCCCCGGCCGCUGUUGCCCAACUUCGAUUAUAUUACAUCCGUCAAGUCAUGUGCACGUUUAACUGUGGACAGCGUUGCAGAAACGUUGCCGCUGCAUAAAAGCUCUCCGAAUCGCGUUCCGUUGAUCGUUUUCCAAAGGAAACGAAAAUCACCACCGCUACAAACGAGGAAACUUAGCUGGGGAAUGCACAUCCCUCCCGCACGCAACUCAACUUCGAGGCGAACGAAUGCAUUGGUUGGUUACCUUCCGACGAUGCCGAUCUUCCCCUUGCUCAUGUUAAUUUGUGCUCCGUCAGGUGACAACGACAACAACACAGACCCGCACAGAACAGGGAGACAAGUGCACGUCUAUCCGACACGAUCCUGUCGCGGCGCAAUGCACUCUGUUCAAGGACACUCGCGUUUUAUCGCUGCGCGGGACACAGACCGUCUUGAUAAGGGGUUUGAAAAGAGGCUACUUGAACAGCAUGGGUGCUUUUUUUUUUUCUUUUGGCAGUUGAGUUACACAGCCCCGCCCCCCAUGCAAGUCUGGAGAAAUAAUCCCAGGAUAUUGACAUUAGUUCACCAGUACUAUGACAGAGCUAUUUUGUCCCUGUAGACUACAGCAUGAUCCAUAAUGGAAACAAGUGGACAUCAAUAAACAAAAAAAAAAGUCAUAAUUUAUUUGCACAACUAUGCCACAGGUGCGGUUAAGAGCAGAAAGUGCAUAAAUCUAGAGUACUGUAGUGCUAACACUAAAGGGAAGCAAAGAAACAAGCAACAAGAAAUUCAAUAUGCAACAAAUGCGUAGCAGCUCAUGCAGGUACAGCGCCUGGAGGUCUGAUAAACCAUGCACCUUUGAGGGAUAAGAUUCAAGUACUUAAACUCUUAAAUCUUGGGUUUAUCAGAUUGCAUUGUUCAAAUUUAUUCACAAAACAUGGUCAAUAAAACUGAGUAAUAAACGUACCAUAUGCAGAGGAAA